GUAGCGGUGCCCCAUGUUGAGACAGCUUGUUUGGAGAUGAGGUUGUUCCUGGUUUUGAUCUUGGCUGCUGUCGUCCGCAGGUCCUCCCGGAAGCUGAGUGACCUCUCCAGGGUCACCCCGAGCAAGGCCAGUGGUGGCUACGCACGUGGCCUGUAAUCCAGCCCUUUGGAGAGAGUGAUGGUUGAUGGAUCACACUCAAAUGUUGUGGAAUUCUCUUCCCCUGGGGCAUCAAGGAGGAGGUGCAAAACCUGGCUGGCCAGGAGAAACCGAGGGUGCGACCUGAUCUGAAGAGUGGGCAAAACGUAUUUAACGGGCAGGACUAAUAUCUCGAUGACCACCCCCUCACUGCCAUCUGCGAGUAGCAAAGAUAUGGACAUUGAGCUGUCACUGCUGAUAAGACACUGCAGUUUUGACACCGAUCCUGGGCUUUCUUGGUCUUGAAACAAUGCUGGUGAAAUGAUGCCACUCCCAGAAGACCGUCCGUGCGACCAGUGGGUUAUGUAAUAAAAAAAUGUUUUAUGCCCAGAGACGGAUAUAUAAAGGAGACACCGUCUUGCUUAUUUAUUUAGGAAAUUACCGAAGAGUGCUGGUGGGGGUGUCGUACUCUGCACCAUGAACUCGACGACACAAGGAGUACUAUUCCUGACCAGUGGCGGCUCCUGCAAAAUCUCUCAGGGGGGGCAAA